rnacentral:rRNA from 1 species
UACGUAGGGGGCUAGCGUUGUCCGGAAUCAUUGGGCGUAAAGCGCGUGUAGGCGGUCCGGUAAGUCCGCUGUGAAAGUCGGGGGCUCAACCCUCGAAAGCCGGUGGAUACUGUGAGGCUAGAGUACGGAAGAGGCGAGUGGAAUUCCUGGUGUAGCGGUGGAAUGCGCAGAUAUCAGGAGGAACACCAAUAGCGAAGGCAGCUCGCUGGGACGUUACUGACACUGAGGCGCGAAAGCGUGGGGAGCAAACAGG